rnacentral:sRNA from 1 species
GCCAGGUGUGGUAGUGCACACCUGUAAUCCCACAUCUCGGGAGGCUGAGGCAGGAGGAUUGUAAGUUCCAGGCCCAUCUGGGCAGCUUAAUUUAGCAAGAUCCUGUGU